GACGAACGCUGGCGGCGUGCUUAACACAUGCAAGUCGAACGGAAAGGCCCUGCUUUUGUGGGGUGCUCGAGUGGCGAACGGGUGAGUAACACGUGAGUAACCUGCCCUUGACUUUGGGAUAACUUCAGGAAACUGGGGCUAAUACCGGAUAGGAGCUCCUGCUGCAUGGUGGGGGUUGGAAAGUUUCGGCGGUUGGGGAUGGACUCGCGGCUUAUCAGCUUGUUGGUGGGGUAGUGGCUUACCAAGGCUUUGACGGGUAGCCGGCCUGAGAGGGUGACCGGCCAAAUUGGGACUGAGAUACGGCCCAGACUCCUACGGGAGGCAGCAGUGGGGGAUAUUGCACAAUGGGCGGAAGCCUGAUGCAGCAACGCCGCGUGCGGGAUGACGGCCUUCGGGUUGUAAACCGAUUUCGCCUGUGACGAAGCGUGAGUGACGGUAAUGGGUAAAGAAGCACCGGCUAACUACGUG
rnacentral:rRNA from 1 species